AGACCCGAAACCCGGUGAUCUAGCCAUGGGCAGGUUGAAGGUUGGGUAACACUAACUGGAGGACCGAACCGACUAAUGUUGAAAAAUUAGCGGAUGACCUGUGGCUGGGGGUGAAAGGCCAAUCAAACCGGGAGAUAGCUGGUUCUCCCCGAAAGCUAUUUAGGUAGCGCCUCGUGAAUUCAUCUCCGGGGGUAGAGCACUGUUUCGGCUAGGGGGCCAUCCCGGCUUACCAACCCGAUGCAAACUGCGAAUACCGGAGAAUGUUAUCACGGGAGACACACGGCGGGUGCUAACGUCCGUCGUGAAGAGGGAAACAACCCAGACCGCCAGCUAAGGUCCCAAAGUCAUGGUUAAGUGGGAAAC
rnacentral:rRNA from 3 species